GCCACUAUAUACCCAAACCGAAGGAGAUAUUUCUUCUUCCGGCGGUGCCCACUCCCGGAGGAGAUAAGGCCGACUUCUCUCUCUCUCUCCAUUUCUUUCGAUUUCUCCACUUCUCUCUCUCUCCCUUUCUCUCUGUGUGCAGCGGCGGCCUGGCAGGGACAGAGGGGAGCGUGCGGCGGCCCAGCGGCGGCGGCGCCCUCCCCUCCACCAGAUCUAACAGGAGCAGGAGGAGAGGCACGGUCAUGGCGAACGGUGUGGAGGUGCAACGCCGGUGACCACAAGCCGGCUAGGGCUCCAAGUUUGGACAACCCGAGCUCGGGGGGCUGUGGAUCUAGCUGUCCCGAGUUUGGGUACUCCAGAUCCAGUGGCCUCCGGCGCCAACAGCGCCAGAUCCAGGCUCAUGGUGAGUGGAUGGCGUCUCCUCUCUCCUCCAAUCGGCUGUGUGCGCUGCCGUCCGCCGUCAAGGCCUAUCGGCUGUACGGCGAGCAUGUGCUUCUCCUCAUCCUGUGCAGUCACCACCUACCGGCUACAUUAGCUAGACAUCUUUGGAGCUGCUUCUCCAGUUGCUGCAGCUCUUUGAGAUUCAGAGAUUCAAGAUCCUCUCCCAUGAGAUGGCUGCAGGAAUUACAGAAAAUCAAUUUUGCUGCAAGAUCCUCUUCUCCCAUAAGGUAAAUAGGUGCUCCAUAGACUAUGGAGUUGCUGACAUAGCAGAUAAUUGAAUGACUCUGCUUUUCUAAGUGCAAGCCAUUGUGUUCUUUGAGUUUUAUAUUAAUUCUCGAACUUGAUGAUGUUGGCCUGGUAGCAUGUCUCUAUAUUUGAAAACUCAAAAGAGCUCUUUUCUGAUAUGGCAUCAUUACUUUCUAAUUUUUGAAUUUGUAAUUUCUUUUUCUAUGAGCAAUUUUGGCAGUACGAAUGUAAGAGACAUGGUCCUAAUUCUUGUUUGUCUGGAGAAUGGGAAUUGGUUGAAAAAAAGAAGCUACAAAUGUUUAACAA